UUAGUAAAGAAGUAAAAAAUUUACAUUUAGUUUCGACCUAAAAUUAAGAACAAUAAUGAUUCUCAUACUAAU
rnacentral:tRNA from 1 species